rnacentral:tRNA from 1 species
GAGUGCAUAGCUCAGUGGUAAGAGCAUGUGUUUAGCAUGCAUGAGGUCCUAGGUUCAAUCCCCAGUGCCUCCA